CAGCAGCCGCGGGAAUACGUAGGGUGCGAGCGUUAAUCGGAAUUACUGGGCGUAAGGCGUGCGCAGGCGGUUGUGUAAGACAGGUGUGAAAUCCCCGGGCUUAACCUGGGAACUGCGCUUGUGACUGCACAGCUAGGGUAUGGCAGAGGGGGGUGGAAUUCCACGUGUAGCAGUGAAAUGCGUAGAGAUGUGGAGGAACACCGAUGGCGAAGGCAGCCCCCUGGGCCAAUACUGACGCUCAUGCACGAAAGCGUGGGGAGCAAACAGGAUUAGAUACCCCGGUAGUCCCUGUCUCUUAUAC
rnacentral:rRNA from 1 species